rnacentral:rRNA from 1 species
ACAUGCCUACAGUAUAGUGUUAUUGCACUAGAUCCCAUUAGAACUAUGUAGUUAAGCACGCUUAGGCUAGAGUAGUACUGGGAUGGGUGAUCACCCCAUAAGUCCUAGUGUUUUACAUGCC